rnacentral:rRNA from 1 species
UACAGAGGGGGCAAGCGUUGUUCGGAAUUACUGGGCGUAAAGGGCGCGUAGGCGGCCUGUUAAGUCGAACGUGAAAUCCCCGGGCUCAACCCGGGAACUGCGUCCGAUACUGGCAGGCUUGAAUUCGGGAGAGGGAUGCGGAAUUCCAGGUGUAGCGGUGAAAUGCGUAGAUAUCUGGAGGAACACCGGUGGCGAAGGCGGCAUCCUGGACCGAGAUUGACGCUGGAGGCGCGAAAGCCAGGGGAGCAAACGGG